AUCAAUAAAAACAUUUAAAAAAUAUCAAAAAAAUAAACAGGAAAAAUGAGGUUUUAAAAUUUUGGGUGGCUACUGUUGCCUGCCAAGGUGCUGAGCCUGCCUUUUCUAAAGAGAUUAGCAAAGUAUUAGAGGGUGAUUAAAGGCAUAUUAUCACUUACCUGAACUUUCUCCUUGACAUGAUGAGAAGGCGUGACAGAUAAUUGAAAAUGGGAUAACUAUAAUCCAUGUGAUUUGGUGUCAUUUAAUGCCAUGUCUACAUGUCUCCUAAAGUCAUUUCAUACUCUACAUUCAUCCCACACUUUGGGAAACUCCCAGAAACACGUCAUUACUUGGUAAAUAUAAUCCAGUUGUGGUUUUCCAAGGCACAUUGAGAGAUGCUAAACCUAUCAGCCUGAUAGGCCAACUGAAUUUCCACUGGUUACACAAUUUUCAUCACAGUGCCCGUGGCUGCCAACACCAUGCCCUGCAGGCUUUCUUUUGAUAUCUUUAUUUGGUCUCCUCUAAGAAAUUAACUUAGUCAAUAUUUAUUAAACAAAUAUUUGCUCGUCACCUACUCUGGUGGUUUUAAAAUAUGGCCCCAAGUUAUUUGACCUUCUUCCCAUCAAGAGCGAAGUCUCUGUCCCCUUCCCUUUCAUGGGGAUGAGCUUGUUGCUGGUCCAUCAACAGAGUAUAGUAGAAAUGACACCAGGGAACUUACAAGGCUAGGUCAUGACAGAGUGAGGGGAGGUAACUUCCGCCUGCUUUGCUGGCACACUUGCUUUUAAAAGUCUUCAGCCAUCAUGUAAGCAGCCCAACUGCCCCGAGGCAGCCAUGCUGUAAGGAAGCUGAAACACAGAGACCAUAAACCCCCUGAGAGAGAACUGCCGCACCUAUGCCUUGCUGUUUCUCACCUUCAGAAACCAUGGAAGAUAAAUUAAAUGAUGGUUGCUGUUAUAAGCCACUGAAUUUGGGGGAUAUUUGUUAUGCAGCAAUAUAUAUCCGCCAGACCUACUAUGCAUCAGACACUGCUUUACAUGUUGGGGUCCAAGAUGAACAAGACAGACCUUGCCUUCCCGGAACUUUGCAUUCUUCGGUGGGGAGACUGACAAUAGGCAGCUUACUAGGAGACAAGUCCGAGGUACCCCUGAGCCCGGCUGAGCUCUGAGAACUGUGAACUUCCUUAUCCACAGCCAAGAUGGAAAAUGGCUUGUAUAGCUGGGCUCCAGCGGUGUGGCUCAGCUGGUUGGACGUUGUCCUGUGUACCCAAAGGUUGCCUGUCCGAUUCCCAGUUAGGGCACAUGCCCGGGAUGGGAGCUUGAGAUCCUGGUAGGGAGCGUGCAGGAGGCAGCUGAUGGAUGUUCCGCUCUUCCAUGGAUGUUUCUCUUUCUCUUUCCCUCUCCCUUCUUUCUCUAAAAGUCAAUAAAAAUAUUAUUUAAAAGUUUUCACUUUCAAAUUAAACUAAAUUCACUUACCAAAAAUGCAGAAAUAGUACCAAGACAUUACACAUAGCUUCACCCAGAUUCCCGAAUAUUCACAUCUUAGGUAAGUGAAAUGACCAAAACCAGGAAGUUAACAUUGAUGCAGUACUGUUCACUAAUGUACAAACCUUAGUCAUAUUUCAUCACUAACAUUUAUUUUCUGUUCCAGGAUCCAGUCCAGUAUCCCUCCAUAAAUGACAUCCACUUGGAUGUUGUUUCUCCAUAGUCCUUCGGUAGGGAUCAAUUCCUCAGCCUUAUUUUUCCUUAACCAUGACACUGUUACAAGUACUGCCCUAUUUUUUGUAGAAUGGCCUUAAUUUUUGUUUUUUAAUGUUUCCUAGUGAUUAAAUUCUGCUGAUGUAUUUUGGGCAGGAAUAAUGUGGGAGUGAUGUGUUCUCAGGGUGUCCUAUUAGGAGGCACUUGAUGUAGGUUUGUGUCCUCACUGAUGAUAACUUAGAUCAAUAGGUCUAUGGUAUCUGCUAGGUUAAUACUUUUCCCCUUGUAAUUAUUUAAUAUCUAGCCGGGAUAUAAAUAAAUAGGGAAUAUUUGAGGAAAAGGAGAGGCAGAGGGAGGAAAGAGCUUGUCUUUCUAGGCAGUAUUGCAAUUUAGUAAACAAAGCCCCCAUUCUAGGCAAAAUCUGAGCUCACAGUGUCUGUGGACCAAAAGGAAAAGGCUGUGUCUCACAGUGACCACUGGGAGGUGGCAGAAGAUUGGGAUUAAUUAAAAAUGGCUCCAGGAGAAAAGCAAUUCAUUCCUUUUUUAUUUUAUUUUAUCGUAUUUUUAAAAUAUAUUUUUAUUGAUUUCAG